rnacentral:lncRNA from 1 species
GUGUGUGUGUGUGUGUGUGUGUGACUCAUCUUCCAGUCAUGGCUGUAAUGUGCUGUAGUAUCCAUUGGAGCAGGAGGGUAACAGGACAGAAGGUAAGGUCAUUGAACUGUAUAGUGGCAGUGAGUACAGAGAGCACCGCUGCCUGAAGAGGAUUUAUUUAGGGGUUGAUUCUUCAACUCAAACUUGUUGUUUUUAGGCUGAGGGAGGAGGGAGCUAGAGGGUUUGGAGUGAGAGAGAGUGAGUGAGAGAGAGAAGGGAGGUGGGGGUUUGGAGUAAGAGAGAGAAGGGAGGUGGUGGUUUGGAGUGAAAGAGAGAGAGAGAGAAGGGAGGUGGGUGUUUGGAGUGAGAGAGCGAGAGAGAGAGAGAGAGAGAGAGAGAGAGAGAGAGGAGAGAGGAGGGAGUUGGGGGUUUGGAGUGAGAGAGCGAGAGAGAGAGAGAGAGGAGAGAGGUGGGGGUUUGGAGUGAGUGAGAGAGAGAGAGAGAGAGGAGAGAGAGGUGAGGGUUUGGAGUGAGAGAGAGAGAGGAGGGAGGUGGGGGUUUGGAAUGAGAGAGCAAGAGAGAGAGAGAGGAGAGAGUUGGGGGGUUGGAGGGGAGAGAGAGGAGGGAGUUGGGGGUUUGGAGGGGGAGAGAGAGGAGAGAGAGGAGGGAGUUGGGGGAGUUGGGGGUUUAGAUGGGGAGAGAGAGGAGGGGGGUGGGGGUUUGGAGUGAGAGGAAAGAGAGAGAGGAGGGAGGUGGGGUUUAGAGAGAGAGAGAGAGAUGUAGGGGGUUUGGAGUGAGAGAGAGAGAGAGGAGAGAGGUGGGGGUUUGGAGUGAGAGAGAGAGAGUGAAGAGAGAGAGGUGGGGGUUUGGAGUGAGAGAGAGAGAGAGGGGAGGUGGGGGUUUGGAACUCCAAUUUGAGCAGCAGCAGCUGAAAAAUGAGCUCCUACAAAUAUUGAAAUUUACAUGGUUUUUAGAGUGAAGUACAUCGGAAAAAAGCAAAAGAAAACUGCAAGACUGAAUAGGAGAAAAAACAAGCAACAAACAAAGAAGAUAGGCUUUUGAAAAAUAACAAUUUUUCAUAAAAUUGUAGUUAUCUUAGCUAGC